UUGGGUUCGUAUUUGGAACUACAAUCGGUUAUUUCAUUUUUCGGUAUGAAAGACCCAAAUGGUUUGUCGGCCUGUUUUUCAAUGUUCAAGACAAGAUUAAUUACAGAAGCAAGAAAAGAACCAAUGCGGUACGACGAGGAAGAACUUGAUUUAAGAUGUGUACCUGAUUUGGAUCCCAAGGCGUAGAAUUGAAGUCGGGUUCGAGAAUCAGGGACGAGUUCAUAUGGGGCUGUACUUGUUUAAUUUACUUCUAAGGACAAUAUGUGUAAUAGUAAGUAGGAUUACCGUGCUGAAUCAUGUAGUCGGUGAUCCGUAAGAUCUUUUGUAACCGAAAGCUAAUUUUAUCAACUUUUUAUAAAUGCUUUUCGGAUGGUUAUGUUGCUUAUGA